AUUGAACGCUGGCGGCAUGCCUUACACAUGCAAGUCGAACGGCAGCACGGGUGCUUGCACCUGGUGGCGAGUGGCGAACGGGUGAGUAAUACAUCGGAACGUACCUUAUCGUGGGGGAUAACGCAGCGAAAGCUGUGCUAAUACCGCAUACGCCCUGAGGGGGAAAGCGGGGGAUCGCAAGACCUCGCGCGAUUAGAGCGGCCGAUGCCUGAUUAGCUUGUUGGUGGGGUAAAAGCCCACCAAGGCGACGAUCAGUAGCUGGUCUGAGAGGACGUUCAGCCACACUGGGACUGAGACACGGCCCAGACUCCUACGGGAGGCAGCAGUGGGGAAUUUUGGACAAUGGGGGCAACCCUGAUCCAGCAAUGCCGCGUGCGUGAAGAAGGCCUUCGGGUUGUAAAGCUCUUUUGUCAGGGAAGAAACACCGGCUCUAACACAGUCCGGGAAUGACGGUACCUGAAGAAUAAGCACCGGCUAACUACGUGCCAGCCGCCGCCGUAA
rnacentral:rRNA from 1 species